rnacentral:rRNA from 1 species
CAGCAGCCGCGGGAAUACAGAGGGUGCGAGCGUUAAUCGGAUUUACUGGGCGUAAAGCGUGCGUAGGCGGCUAAUUGAGUCGGAUGUGAAAUCCCCGAGCUUAACUUGGGAAUUGCAUUCGAUACUGGUUAGCUAGAGUGUGGGAGAGGAUGGUAGAAUUCCAGGUGUAGCGGUGAAAUGCGUAGAGAUCUGGAGGAAUACCGAUGGCGAAGGCAGCCAUCUGGCCUAACACUGACGCUGAGGUACGUAAGCAUGGGGAGCAAACAGGAUUAGAUACCCGCGUAGUCCCUGUCUCUUAUAC